rnacentral:rRNA from 1 species
UCGGGAAUUUUGGGCAAUGGGCGAAAGCCUGACCCAGCAACGCCGCGUGAAGGAUGAAAUCCCUCGGGAUGUAAACUUCGCAAGAAUGAGAAGAAUAAGUAGGGGUCAAUACCCCCUAUGAUGACGGUAUCAUUUGUAAGCUCCGGCUAACUCCGUGCCAGCAGCCGCGGUAAUACGGGGGGAGCAAGCGUUGUUCGGAUUUACUGGGCGUAAAGGGCGCGUAGGCGGCCUGUGCAAGUCAGUUGUGAAAUCUCCGGGCUUAACUCGGAACGGUCAACUGAUACUGCUCGGCUAGAGUGCAGAAGGGGCAACUGGAAUUCUUGGUGUAGCGGUGAAAUGCGUAGAUAUCAAGAGGAACACCUGCGGCGAAGGCGGGUUGCUGGGCUGACACUGACGCUGAAGUGCGAAAGCUAGGGGAGCGAACGG